rnacentral:lncRNA from 1 species
GUAACUGUAAUUAAUUCAUUAUGCUGUUCCAUGCCAGUGAAUAUUUAGCAUAAGUCUAGAUUUAUUGGCUGUUAUGAACAAUAUCAUCAUAAUAGUUCGUGGCUUGUGACUAAUUUCUUGAGUGCAGUGGUUCUAAAAUAUGGUUCUGGGAUCAGAAGAAUUAACACAGUUUAUCCCAUAAUCCCAAAUAUGAAAUAUCUUUACAAAUAUAAAUUAAAUAAACAAUAUACCACUUGUGGUAACUUUGAAAUUACAUUUGAAUAUUUAUUAUGUUUGCAAAAUUGAAAACUCGGGACUUAUUGAGGAAUAGCACCCAUGCACUUGAUAAAAAUGCAUAUUCAUAGGUUCCCCCACUAAACUACUGCAUCAGAAUCUUUGAUGGGGGGGGAGUCCAGAAAACUUUCAUAAAUCUGCCAGGUCAUUUAUGCAUUUUAAUGUUUGGGAAUAACUGCUUUGGUGGGUAUGUGUGUGGGUAUUGUAUAUAUUAUAAAACCAUCAGGUUUGAGACAUCUAAUUGUUAACUUUAUAAGACAACGACAGAUUGCUCUUUAUUCAUAGUCUUACCAGCAAUAUAUGAAUUUCCAUUAAUCCUCAUUCUUGUCAACACAUGGCAUUUUCAAUUUCCUAAUGUUUUUCCAUUAUUUUAGCUAUAAAGUAAUAUACCAUUAUGCUUGAAGUAGGAAGAGAGAAAAAAAAUGAGCACUAUUUUGGAUGGUCUUACUAUGAAUGCUGUUUUGUAAUCUGCUAUUUUCAUUUAUCAAUCUCUUUCUAUAUCAAUAAAUUUUUAUACCCAGUCUGUG